GCAAGGGCGUAUGGUGGAUGCCUUGGCAGACAGGACCGAUGAAGGACGUUUGAGGCUGCGAUAUGCCUCGGGGAGCCGCCAACAGGGCUUUGAUCCGAGGAUUUCCGAAUGGGGGAACCCACCGGCCGUCAUGGGCCGGUACCGCCGUGUGCGGGGGGUACGCAGGGAAGUGAAACAUCUCAGUACCUGCAGGAAAGGAUAUUCCGUGAGUAGUGGCGAGCGAAAGCGGAUCAGGCCAAACCUUGCGCGUGUGAUACCCGUCGGGGGUUGCGCGCGGGGUGUAGAGGGAUCGCGUUUGCCGGCUCCGACGGGCCGGCCGUCAGUUGCAUAAAACCAUGUGCCAGGGGAACCGGGUUGAAUACCGGGCCGCAGAGGGUGAGGGCCCCGUACCCGAACGCGCAUGGUCUGGCGAUCGCGUCUCCCAAGUAGCACGGGCCCCGUGGAAUCCCGUGCGAAUCUGUCCCGACCGUGGGAUAAGCCUAAAUAUUCCUGUCUGACCGAUAGCGAACGAGUACCGUGAGGGAAAGGUGAAAAGUACCCCGGGAGGGGAGUGAAACAGUCUCUGAAACCAUGCGCCUACGAACCGUCGGGGCCCUCUUGUGGGGUGACGGCGUGCCUAUCGAAAAAUGAGUCUGCGAGUCAGUGGCAUGUGGCGAGCAUAACCCGUGUGGGGUAUGCGUAGCGAAGGCGAGUCUUAAAAGGCGUUUGAGUCGCGUGUCCUGGACCCGAAGCGGGAUGAUCUAGCCCUGAGCAGGUUGAAGCGCGGGUAAGACCGCGUGGAGGACCGAACCCACCUGGGUUGAAAACCGGGGGGAUGACUUGGGGCUAGGGGUGAAAGGCCAAUCAAAUUCCGUGAUAGCUGGUUCUCUCCGAAAUGCAUUUAGGUGCAGCGUCGGAUCGAUUACAUCCGGGGGGUAGAGCGACUGGAUGCUUGCGGGCCCAUAUCGGGUACCAACAGCAACCAAACUCCGAAUACCCGUGAUGCGUAUCCCGGCAGUGAGUCGGCGGGGGAUAAGCUCCGUCGUCGAAAGGGAAACAGCCCAGAUCGUCGUCUAAGGUCCCCAAGCGUGUGCUAAGUGGGAAAGGAUGUGGAGUCGCAUAGACAGCCAGGAGGUUGGCUCAGAAGCAGCCACCCUUGAAAGAGUGCGUAACAGCUCACUGGUCUAGUGGUUCCGCGCCGACAAUGUAGCGGGGCUCAAGCACGCCACCGAAGACGCGGCAGUAGCUUUGCUACUGGGUAGGAGAGCGUCCCAUGCGGGGCGAAGCGGCGGCGCAAGCCCGCCGUGGACCGCAUGGGAGUGAGAAUGCAGACAUGAGUAGCGAAAGACGGGUGAAGAUCCCGUCCGCUGGACGACCAAGGGUUCCAGGGCCACGUUCAUCGUCCCUGGGUGAGUCGGGUCCUAAGGCGAGGCCGACAGGCGUAGUCGAAUGGAUGAACGGGUCGAUAUUCCCGUACCGGCAUGCAACCGGCAAAACCGAAUCCGCGAGUACUAACCUCCGGGUCCGGGCUUACGUCUCCUUCGGGAGCCGGAUGCCCUGGCCUGUUGGGACCGUAACGGUAGUAGGUCAGCGCGGGAGUGACGCAGAAGGGUAGCCGGCCGCGGAGGUGGUCUUCCGUGGUCAAGCACGCAGCCCGUCCCACAGGCAAAUCCGUGGGGCGCGUGGGCGAGGUGCGAUGAUGGGCGCCGUUGGGCGCGAUAUCCGGUGAUCCCGGCUGCCGAGAAAAGCUUCGGCGUGAGGCGGCGUGCCGCCCGUACCCCAAACCGACACUGGUGGUCAGGUAGAGAAUACCAAAGCGAU
rnacentral:rRNA from 1 species